ensembl:lncRNA
CGCAGCCGUUCCGGAGUUGGUGGAAAUUGAGGGUAAAGCCUAGCUUAUGCUUCUGCGUUUUCAGAGCGACGCAGACGCAAGGCCCCCUUGCGUGUCCUUUUACACCUCCUUGCGUCCUUGGGUGCUUGCGUGCGUCGACCCAUUUUUCUAGGCUUCGAUUGGUCCGCUAACUACAUCCUUUAUGGAGUCUUACAUUUCCGUUUUCAUAGCAAAAUACCGCCAUUAUUAAAACGAAGAAUGUUUACGAGAGAACGGAUCCGAUUUAAGAACUUUUGUCUGAAGAAAUGCGUAAAUAUGACCGCUUAUACAACGUCAUUGGCGGGUUGUAGAAGCGGGUUGCAUUCAUAGAGGGAGGUCGCCGCAAACGCCGGUUUGCGGGUUGAGAGGUGAACAAAGUUGUGGAGGAAAAUACGGCAGAAAUGUGUCCACAAUGAAACGCAGCAGUGGCGAUGCACGGGGCAAUAAAGUCUAUGAUAAAUAAAAUAAACAAACCAACGACUUCCACAAACAAAGACGUGACUCCCUAGAUUGUCGUCAAAACACGUUACUCCACCUGUUGUUCUGGCGGUGAAUUUCUCUGCAACAUACGCAAGACUUAAUAGAACCAUGAAUUGAAACGAGUGCGUCGACGCAACGACGCAGGCGCAGAUGCAGAAGCAUGCGCCAGCCUUUAGUGAGUACUUCUCAAACACGGGGGCCUGACCCUGUAGUGGGUCGCAGUGGUAUUACAGGUUCAGCAUGCUGACUGCUAUUCGAGCCACCAGACGUUCCCUGGGAUUCUUCAGGAGUGUCUCUAACUAUGCCAUUGACUCAGUAACCUGUAGGGCCGUGACCGCACCGUCACGCCCAGGGACGUCUCAAUGUGAUGCAUGAUGAGAUCCAUG